rnacentral:rRNA from 1 species
GACGAACGCUGGCGGCGUGCCUAAUACAUGCAAGUCGGACGCAGUUGCGAACGGGAGAGUAACGCGUCGGUAACUACCUUUUAGAGGGGGAUAACUAUUGGAAACGAUAGCUAAUACCGCAUACUCGUAGAUGGACCUGCGUUGUAUUAGGUAGUAUGUCGGGGAAUGGCCUACCUAGGGAACGAUACAUAGCCGACCAGAGAGGGUGGACGGCCAAAAUGGGACUUGGUCACGGCCCAAACUCCUACGGGAGGCAGCAGUAGGGAAUCAGCGGAAAGGGGGGGAACCCUGAACGAGCAACGCCGCGUGAGUGAAGAAGGUAUUCGGAUCGUAAAGCUCUGUUGUUAAGGAAGCGGUACUUAAACAGAAAGGGACGGCUAACUACGUGCCAGCAGCCGCAGUAAUUC